rnacentral:rRNA from 1 species
GACGAACGUUGGCGGCGUGCUUAAUACAUGCAAGUCAACUGAAGCAGUGGUAGCAAUAUCGCUGUGGAGGUGGCGCACGGGUGAGUAACACGUAGGUAAUCUGCCUUCAGGUCUGGCAUAACUCCGGGAAACCGGGGCUAAUAGCAGAUGAUGCAGCGGCUCGACAUCGAGACAGUUGUUAAAGCUAUGGCGCCUGAAGAUGAGCCUGCGUCUGAUUAGCUAGUUGGCGGGGUAACGGCCCACCAAGGCAACGAUCAGUAGCUGGUCUGAGAGGAUGAUCAGCCACACUGGAACUGCGACACGGUCCAGACUCCUACGGGAGGCAGCAGUAAGGAAUAUUGCUCAAUGGGAGAAAUCCUGAAGCAGCAACGCCGCGUGAGGGACGAAGGGCUUUUGCUUGUAAACCUCUGUAGUGAGAGAAAAAAAUCCCAAUCUUUGGGACAUGAUGGUAUCUCAAAAGUAAGCCCCGGCUAACUACGUG